rnacentral:rRNA from 1 species
GUGGGGAAUAUUGGACAAUGGGCGAAAGCCUGAUCCAGCCAUGCCGCGUGUGUGAAGAAGGUCUUCGGAUUGUAAAGCACUUUAAGUUGGGAGGAAGGGCAGUAAGUUAAUACCUUGCUGUUUUGACGUUACCGACAGAAUAAGCACCGGCUAACUUCGUGCCAGCAGCCGCGGUAAUACGAAGGGUGCAAGCGUUAAUCGGAAUUACUGGGCGUAAAGCGCGCGUAGGUGGUUUUGUAAGUUGGAGGUGAAAUCCCCGGGCUCAACCUGGGAACUGCCUCCAAAACUGCAUGACUAGAGUACGGUAGAGGGUAGUGGAAUUUCCUGUGUAGCAGUGAAAUGCGUAGAUAUAGGAAGGAACACCAGUGGCGAAGGCGACUACCUGGACUGAUACUGACACUGAGGUGCGAAAGCGUGGGGAGCAAACAGGAUUAGAAACCCCUGUAGUCC